AACACAUGCAAGUCGAACGAGAAAGUGGAGCAAUCCAUGAGUAAAGUGGCGACCGGGUGAGUAACACGUGACUAACCUACCUUCGAGUGGGGGAUAACCUCGGGAAACCGAGGCUAAUACCGCAUAACAUCGCAAGAUCAAAGCAGCAAUGCGCUGGAAGAGGGGGUCGCGGCUGAUUAGCUAGUUGGCGGGGUAACGGCCCACCAAGGCGAAGAUCGGUAGCCGGCCUGAGAGGGCGCACGGCCACACUGGAACUGAAACACGGUCCAGACUCCUACGGGAGGCAGCAGUGGGGAAUUUUGCGCAAUGGGGGAAACCCUGACGCAGCAACGCCGCGUGGAGGAUGAAGCCCCUUGGGGCGUAAACUCCUUUCGACCAAGACGAUAAUGACGGUACUGGUGGAAGAAGCACCGGCUAACUCUGUGCCAGCAGCCGCGGUAAUACAGAGGGUGCGAGCGUUGUUCGGAAUUAUUGGGCGUAAAGGGCGCG
rnacentral:rRNA from 1 species